GAAAUGGGGAAUGUAUCAAAGAGACAAGAACCCGACCAUAGAAAAAACAACAGCAGAAGGUCACCAACAGGUCUUCAAUGUAACAAGAAAUUCCUGCACCCAGAGGCGUCCUUAGUUGGCCCCUAAACAAAUAUAUACUAGUUCAGUGAUAAUGAACGCCAUACUAAUUUCCAAAUUGUACACAAGAAACUAAAAUUAAAAUAAUACAAGACUAACAAAGACCAGAGUCUCCUGACUUAGGACAGGCGCAAAAAUGCGGCGGGGUUAAACAUGUUUAUGAGAUCUCAACCCUCCCUCUAUACCUCUAGCC
rnacentral:lncRNA from 1 species